AAAAAAGGCAAACACUGGUUUCCGUGUCCAACCCAACUUUAACUGUCCGUCUUAUAUGAAAUUUUUUUAUAAUUCGUAUUUUUAUUGUUGUUAGAUGAUAAAACAUGAUUAAUAUUUUAUGCAUAACUUGUCUUUUUAUUUUUUUAUAUUUUUUUAAAUAAGACGAACGGUCAAACGUUGAGCACGGAAAUCAGGUUUGUCUUUUUU
rfam:Oryza rufipogon genomic scaffold, chr05